rnacentral:rRNA from 1 species
AUGUUCCAUGUGCUUUCAUUUGCUUGGUCAAAAGCCAGAACACAACAGCUCCCAAUCAUAUACCAAAUGCAACGCCCAACAAAGUCUACUGCUAAAAAAAGUGUUACGUCUUUGCUUUCACAAAAGCUCCAGCAGUCGCUUGCUGUGCAAAAUACAGGCCAUGAGGCUAGCUUGGUCAAAUGCCAGAACAAAACAGCUACGCCAUCACACCAAAUGCAACGGCAGAUAAAGUCUACUGCUAAGGAUUACAUCAUUUGUUCGAUGAAAGCUCCAGCGACUGCCUGCUGUUCGAAAUACAUGUGA